UCUCCGUUGGUGAACCAGCGGAGGGAUCAUUACAGAGUUUAUUAUAACUCCUAAACCCAUGUGAACCUACCUUCUGUUGCCUCGGCAGGCAAGUCGUAUCUUGCUACCCUAUAGGACCCUAUCUUGUAAGACGUUACCUUAUAAGGUCCUAUCCGGUAGAGGGAUGCGGUACUACCUGCCGGUGGACUGAAAAAAAAUUCUGUUUAAUAAAUGGUAUUCUGAAUCAUUAUAUGGAAAUUAAGUUAAAACUUUCAACAACGGAUCUCUUGGUUCUG
rnacentral:misc_RNA from 1 species